rnacentral:rRNA from 1 species
GAUGAACGCUAGCGGCAGGCUUAACACAUGCAAGUCGAGGGGUAGAGGCUUUCGGGCCUUGAGACCGGCGCACGGGUGCGUAACGCGUAUGCAAUCUGCCUUGUACCGGGGGAUAGCCCAGAGAAAUUUGGAUUAAUACCCCAUAGUAUUUUCGGUUGGCAUCAACUGAUUAUUAAAGUUUUUCGGUACAAGAUGAGCAUGCGUCCCAUUAGCUAGUUGGUAUGGUAACGGCAUACCAAGGCUACGAUGGGUAGGGGUCCUGAGAGGGAGAUCCCCCACACUGGUACUGAGACACGGACCAGACUCCUACGGGAGGCAGCAGUGAGGAAUAUUGGUCAAUGGUCGCAAGACUGAACCAGCCAUGCCGCGUGCAGGAUGAAGCAUCUAUGGUGUGUAAACUGCUUUUGUACGGGAAGAAACACUCCUACGUGUAGGGGCUUGACGGUACCGUAAGAAUAAGGAUCGGCUAACUCCGUGCCAGCAGCCGCGGUAAAAC